rnacentral:rRNA from 2 species
GAGUUUGAUCCUGGCUCAGGAUGAACGCCGGCGGUGUGCCUAAUACAUGCAAGUCGAACGCGUUGGCCCAAUUGAUUGAUGGUGCUUGCACCUGAUUGAUUUUGGUCGCCAACGAGUGGCGGACGGGUGAGUAACACGUAGGUAACCUGCCCAGAAGCGGGGGACAACAUUUGGAAACAGAUGCUAAUACCGCAUAACAGCGUUGUUCGCAUGAACAACGCUUAAAAGAUGGCUUCUCGCUAUCACUUCUGGAUGGACCUGCGGUGCAUUAGCUUGUUGGUGGGGUAACGGCCUACCAAGGCGAUGAUGCAUAGCCGAGUUGAGAGACUGAUCGGCCACAAUGGGACUGAGACACGGCCCAUACUCCUACGGGAGGCAGCAGUAGGGAAUCUUCCACAAUGGGCGCAAGCCUGAUGGAGCAACACCGCGUGAGUGAAGAAGGGUUUCGGCUCGUAAAGCUCUGUUGUUAAAGAAGAACACGUAUGAGAGUAACUGUUCAUACGUUGACGGUAUUUAACCAGAAAGUCACGGCUAACUACGUGCCA